rnacentral:lncRNA from 1 species
GGGGCUGAGACGAUUGCCUCCUUUCCAAACUCCUAAGGUUUUUUUCUCUUUUAUUAGUUAGUUUUUGUUAGUAUUGCGGUCUAAUAAUGAUUUCAGUCCCUUUAGUAUGUCGAAAUUAUAAUUUAAUCCCAGACCGAGAUUAAUCCUGAAAACUAAGAAGGAACUUCCACACAGACAUCAAUCACAGGAAAUUAGUGGAUAAGAAACAGUCUAAAAUCUGGUCAUAUCGAUUUAACCCAAACAAAGCACACUCACUAGAAAAACCCACAACACCAUGAAAAACACUUAAUUAUUCAAUGAAAUCAAUCCUAGAACUAAUCUUAGGAGCUAAUAAUUAUUGACAACAACACCAGUGAACGUUGUGGGCUUCGGUAAUUAUUCAAUGAAAUUAGUGAAUGAUAGUUUCUUUUUUCUUCAUAUUCAUGCUUAGAACUUGGAAAAGGAGGCUGUUGUUUAAUUUCUCCUAUCUCAACUGUUGUUCAAGAUCAGUUUUGUUUUAAUGCAGAAACCAGAAAAAGCGACUGACGGAGAGACGUUACCGUUGAGAGAGAGUGACGGACGGUGGCGGCAGCCGACAGAUGAGGAGUAGAGGCGGAAACCGGCGGACAGAGGAGAAAUGUGAAGCUGGCACCAGCAGGGGGAACGGCCGAC